UCGCAUGGUGGGGGGUGGAAAGCUUUUUGUGGUUUUGGAUGGACUCGCGGCCUAUCAGCUUGUUGGUGAGGUAAUGGCUCACCAAGGCGACGACGGGUAGCCGGCCUGAGAGGGUGACCGGCCACACUGGGACUGAGACACGGCCCAGACUCCUACGGGAGGCAGCAGUGGGGAAUAUUGCACAAUGGGCGAAAGCCUGAUGCAGCGACGCCGCGUGAGGGAUGACGGCCUUCGGGUUGUAAACCUCUUUCAGUAGGGAAGAAGCGAAAGUGACGGUACCUGCAGAAGAAGCGCCGGCUAACUACGUGCCAGCAGCCGCGGUAAUACGUAGGGCGCAAGCGUUAUCCGGAAUUAUUGGGCGUAAGAGCUCGUAGGCGGUUUGUCGCGUCUGCCGUGAAAGUCCGGGGCUCAACUCCGGAUCUGCGGUGGGUACGGGCAGACUAGAGUGAUGUAGGGGAGACUGGAAUUCCUGGUGUAGCGGUGAAAUGCGCAGAUAUCAGGAGGAACACCGAUGGCGAAGGCAGGUCUCUGGGCAUUAACUGACGCUGAGGAGCGAAAGCAUGGGGAGCGAACAGGAUUAGAUACCCUGGUAGUCCAUGCCGUAAACGUUGGGCACUAGGUGUGGGGGACAUUCCACGUUUUCCGCGCCGUAGCUAACGCAUUAAGUGCCCCGCCUGGGGAGUACGGCCGCAAGGCUAAAACUCAAAGGAAUUGACGGGGGCCCGCACAAGCGGCGGAGCAUGCGGAUUAAUUCGAUGCAACGCGAAGAACCUUACCAAGGCUUGACAUGGGCCGGACCGGGCUGGAAACAGUCCUUCCCCUUUGGGGCCGGUUCACAGGUGGUGCAUGGUUGUCGUCAGCUCGUGUCGUGAGAUGUUGGGUUAAGUCCCGCAACGAGCGCAACCCUCGUUCCAUGUUGCCAGCGCGUAAUGGCGGGGACUCAUGGGAGACUGCCGGGGUCAACUCGGAGGAAGGUGGGGACGACGUCAAAUCAUCAUGCCCCUUAUGUCUUGGGCUUCACGCAUGCUACAAUGGCCGGUACAAAGGGUUGCGAUACUGUGAGGUGGAGCUAAUCCCAAAAAGCCGGUCUCAGUUCGGAUUGGGGUCUGCAACUCGACCCCAUGAAGUCGGAGUCGCUAGUAAUCGCAGAUCAGCAACGCUGCGGUGAAUACGUUCCCGGGCCUUGU
rnacentral:rRNA from 1 species